ACGUAGGCAGCGAGCGUUGUUCGGAGUUACUGGGCGUAAAGGGUGUGUAGGCGGUUUGCCAAGUUCGGUGUGAAAUCUCCCGGCUCAACUGGGAGGGUGCGCCGAAUACUGGCAGGCUCGAGUGCGGGAUGGGAGAGCGGAAUUCCUGGUGUAGCGGUGAGAUGCGUAGAGAUCAGGAGGAACACCUGCGGUGUAGACGGCUCUCUGGACCGCCACUGACGCUGAGACACGAAAGCGUGGGUAGCAAACAGGAUUAGAUACCCUGGUAGUCCACGCCCUAAACGAUGCAUACUUGGUGUGGGCAGUUCAUUCUGUCCGUGCCGAAGCUAACGCGUUAAGUAUGCCGCCUGGGGAGUACGGUCGCAAGGCUG
rnacentral:rRNA from 1 species